rnacentral:rRNA from 1 species
UGGGGAAUAUUGCACAAUGGGCGCAAGCCUGAUGCAGCCAUGCCGCGUGUAUGAAGAAGGCCUUCGGGUUGUAAAGUACUUUCAGCGGGGAGGAAGGGAGUAAAGUUAAUACCUUUGCUCAUUGACGUUACCCGCAGAAGAAGCACCGGCUAACUCCGUGCCGGCAGCCGCGGUAAUACGGAGGGUGCAAGCGUUAAUCGGAAUUACUGGGCGUAAAGCGCACGCAGGCGGUUUGUUAAGUCAGAUGUGAAAUCCCCGGGCUCAACCUGGGAACUGCAUCUGAUACUGGCAAGCUUGAGUCCGUACGUAGGGAGGGUAGAAUCGAAUCAGGUGUAGCGGUGAAAUGCGUAGAGAUCUGGAGGAAUACCGGUGGCGAAGGCGGCCCCCUGGACGAAGACUGACGCUCAGGUGCGAAAGCGUGGGGGAGCAAACAGGAUUAGAUACCC